AGUAAUAGGCUAUAAUAGGACUUAAACAUUUAUAUAGCAGUAUUAAAAAUAUGUCACAGAUAAGAUUAAUUACAUUUGAUGCGACAAACACCUUAUUCAAAGUUUGUGGUAGUGUUGGUGAGAUAUAUGCAAAAACCAAAUUUUGGUCGUACAGUCAGAAUGUCAUCUCAAGAAUGGUGGAAAAGUGUUGUUGAUAUUUCAUUCAAUGGUCAAGUAAAUUCUGAUAUCCUUGGCAAGAUAUCUGCUGAUUUAUAUCAGAAUUUUAUAAAGAAAACUCACUGGGAAUUAUUCCCUGAUGUUUUGCCUGCUUUGGAACAUUUCAGAAACAAAGAUAUUAAACUUGGUGUUCUCUCAAACUUUGA